CCCUUAGAUGUUCUGGGCCGCACGCGCGCUACACUGAUGCAUUCAACGAGUUUAUAACCUUGACUGAGAGGUCUGGGUAAUCUUUUGAAACUGCAUCGUGAUGGGGAUAGAGUUUUGAAAUAUAGACUCUUCAACGAGGAAUUCCUAGUAAGCGUGCUUCAUCAGAGCACGUUGAUUACGUCCCUGCCCUUUGUACACACCGCCCGUCGCUCCUACCGAUUGAAUGGUCCGGUGAAGCGCUCGGACCGCGGCCUCUUGACGGUUUUCCGUCGAUUGGCUGUGGGAAGUUCGUUAAACCUUAUCAUUUAGAGGAAGGAGAAGUCGUAACA
rnacentral:rRNA from 1 species